CCUACGGGAGGCACCAGUAGGGAAUCUUCCACAAUGGGCGCAAGCCUGAUGGAGCAACGCCGCGUGUGUGAUGAAGGCUUUCGGGUCGUAAAGCACUGUUGUAUGGGAAGAAUAGUUAAUGUAGGAAAUGAUGUUAAUGUGACGGUACCAUACCAGAAAGGGACGGCUAAAUACGUGCCAGCAGCCGCGGUAAUACGUAUGUCCCGAGCGUUAUCCGGAUUUAUUGGGCGUAAAGCGAGCGCAGACGGUUCGUUAAGUCUGAAGUGAAAGCCCACAGCUCAACUGUGGAAUGGCUUUGGAAACUGGCGAACUUGAGUGCAGUAGAGGCAAGUGGAACUCCAUGUGUAGCGGUGGAAUGCGUAGAUAUAUGGAAGAACACCAGUGGCGAAGGCGGCUUGCUGGACUGUAACUGACGUUGAGGCUCGAAAGUGUGGGUAGCAAACAGGAUUAGAUACCCCGGUAGUC
rnacentral:rRNA from 1 species